GAUGAAGAACGUAGCGAAAUGCGAUAAGUAAUGCGAAUUGCAGAAUUUCCGUGAGUCAUCGAAUCUUUGAACGCACAUUGCGCCCACUGGUAUUCCGGAGGGCAUGCCUGUUCGAGCGUCAUUAUCCUCCCUCAAACCCCGGGUUUGGUGUUGGACCCAAGUUGUGUGAACAACUGGUCUCAAAGACAAUGACGGCGUCCGUGGGACCCUCGGUGCAACGAGCUUUUAGGAGCACGCAUCGAGUUGCAAGGACCUUCCGGGCCGGUCUCCUUUACCAUUUUACAAGGUUGACCUCGGAUCAGGUAGGAAUACCCGCUGAACUUAAGCAUAUCAAUAAGCGGAGGA
rnacentral:misc_RNA from 1 species